rnacentral:rRNA from 1 species
UUGUGAUCAUAGCUCAGAUUGAACGCUGGCGGGAUGCUUUACACAUGCAAGUCGAACAGCAGCACAGACUUCGGUCUGGUGGCAGUGGCGAACAGGUGAGUAAUGUAUCGGAACGUGCCUAGUAGCGGGGAUAACUGCGGCGUAGCUAAUACCGCAUACGCCCUUCGGGGGAAAGCGGGGACCUUCGGGCCUCGCAUAAUGGAAGCGGCCGAUAUCCGGAUUAGCUAGUUGGUGGGGUAACGGCUCGCAAGGCGACGAUCGUAGCCUGGUUUGAGAGGACGACCAGCCACACUGGGACUGAGACACGGCCCAGACUCCUACAGGAGGCAGCGGUGGGAAUUUUGGACAAUGGGGAAACCCCACAGUCCAGCCAUCCCGCGUGUGCGAUGAAGGCCCUUCGGGUUGUAAAGCACUUUUGGCAGGAAAGAAACAGCACGGGAUAAUACCCCGUGCAACUGACGGUACCUGCAGAAUAAGCACCGGCUAACUACGUGCCGGCAGCCGCGGUAAUACAUGCAGUGCAAGCGUUAAUCCGGAAUUACUGGGCGUAAAGCGUGCGCAGGCAGUUUCGGAAAAGAAAGAUAUGAAAUCCCAGGCUUAACUUUGGAACUGCAUUUUUUUAACUACCGAGCUAGAGUGUGUCAGAGGGAGGUGGAAUUCACGAUGUAACGGUGAAAUGCGUAGAUAUGCGGAGGAACACCGAUGGCGAAGGCAACCUCCUGGGAUAACACUGACGCUCAUGCACGAAAGCGUGGGAGCAAACAGGAUUAGAUACCCUGGUAGUCCACGCCUAAACGAUGUCAACUAGCUGUUGGGGCACUUCAGACGCAGUAGUACAACUAACGCGUGAAGUUGACCGCCUGGGAGUACAGUUAAAGAUUAAAACUCAAAGGAAUUGACGGGGACCCGCACAAGCAGUGGAUGAUGUGGAUUAAUUCGAUGCAACGCGAAAAACCUUACCUACCCUUGACAUGUCUGGAAUCCCGAAGAGAUUUAGGAGUGCUCGCAAGAGAACCGGAACACAGGUGCUGCAUGGCUGUCGUCAGCUCGUGUCGUGAGAUGUUGGGUUAAGUCCGGCGAGCGCAACCCUUGUCAUUAGUUGCUACGAAAGGGCACUCUAAUGAGACUGCCGAUGACAAACCGGAGGAAGGUGAGGAUGACGUCAAGUCCUCAUGGCCCAUAUGGGUAGGGCUUCACACGUCAUACAAUGGUCGGGACAGAGGGUCGCCAACCCACGAGGGGAGCCAAUCCCCGAAACCCGAUCGUAGUCCGGAUCGCAGUCUACGCUCGACUGCGUGAAGUCCAGAUCCGCUGGCUUAAUCGCGGAUCAGCAUGUCGCGGUGAAUACGUUCCCGGGUCUUCAUACACACCGCCCGUCACACCAUGGAGAUGGUUUUACCAGAAGUAGUUAGCCUAACCGUAAGGAGGGCGAUUACCACGGUAGGAUUCAUGACUGGGGUGAAGUCAUCUUGGUGUAACUCUGUUACUACAAGUCUUUCCCAG